AUGCAGGCAGUGUUCACUCCCGCUGCCAUUGAAAUGAAAAAAGAGCCAGUGGAAGAUGAUGAGCUGUCCCAGAGAACGUGUUGAAUUUCGAUGACCUUACUGCAGACACUUUAGCUAACCUGAAAAUCUCACAAAUCAAGUCCGACUCCUCAUUGACAAAGCCAUCCUGAAGUGUGACGCGGAGCGGAUAAAGCUGGAAGCAGAGCGAUUUGAGAAACUUCGAGAGAUUGUGAACCUUCUGCACCCUUCUGUGCCCAUCAGUAACGAGAUGAGGCAGGUGGCUGUGCUGCAGCAGGAGGAUGCGGACAACAAAGUAGAGAGGAUUUGGGGUGAUUGUACGGUCAGGAAGAAGUACUCUCAUGUGGACCUGGUGGUGAUGGUAGAUGGCUUUGAAGGCGAAAAGGGGGCCAUGGUGGCUGGGAGUCAAGGGUAUUUCUUGAAGGGGGUCCUGGUGUUCCUGGGAACAGGCUCUCAUCCAGUAUGCCCUUCGCACCCUUGGGAAGUCGGGGCUACACUCCCAUUAUUACCCCCUUUUUCAUGAGGAAGGAGGUCAUGCAGGAGCCAAGGUCCUCCCCGCUUCCUCUUAACUGGUAUGGCUCCUUCCUUCCACAGGUGAUUGGCAAAGGCAGUGAAAAGUCUGAUGACAACUCCUAUGAUGAGAAGUACCUGAUUGCCACCUCAGAGCAGCCCAUCGCUGCCCUGCACCGGGAUGAGUGGCUCCGGCCGGAGGACCUGCCCAUCAAGUAUGCUGGCCUGUCUACCUGCUUCCGUCAGGAGGUGGGCUCCCAUGGCCGUGACACCUGUGGCAUCUUCCGAGUCCAUCAGUUUGAGAAGAUUGAACAGUUUGUGUACUCAUCACCACAUGACAACAAGUCGUGGGAGAUGUUUGAAGAGAUGAUUACCACCGCGGAGGAAUUCUACCAGUCCCUGGGCAUUCCUUACCACAUCGUGAAUAUUGUCUCAGGUUCUUUGAAUCAUGCUGCCAGUAAGAAGCUUGACCUGGAGGCCUGGUUUCCGGGCUCAGGAGCCUUCCGUGAGUUGGUCUCCUGUUCUAAUUGCACGGAUUACCAGGCUCGCCGGCUUCGAAUCCGAUAUGGGCAAACCAAGAAGAUGAUGGACAAGGUAGAUGGCCCCCAGGGAGGUGGGAAGCAGAACCUUCAGUACACGGCCCAUCCAUCUUAUUUCUCAGCCUUUGGGGUGCACUGGUCCCCAGCAUCAUGGGAAAAUCUGAGCUUCUCAAUCUAGACCAAAAAGGGAAUC